GGCCCCGGCUUACAGCUGUGGCCCUGGAUUCACCUCUAUGGCCCCAGUUUUGACUGCCACCGGGCGCAGGGCCUGGCUGUGGUGGCCGCAGGGUCUGAGGCUCGAGGUCUGCAGGAGUGUACACAACUGCCUCCGUGAAAAGCAGGUGUCUGAGGGUCUGGUUUGGAGUCAGCCGGAGUCUCUUGCUGACUGACACUAUCCCAUUAGGGACGCUGUCGGGUCUGGGCAAACCCUGAACGGCAACACAGACUCAGCCCGGUGUCCACAUGUCCGCAUCGCCUCAGCUGCGUCCACAGCAGCCGUGGCCGCAGGCCCAGGUGUCCGUGAGGGGUGGGCCAGCGCAGACGCAGGGUGUUCACACAAGCACAAGCGGACACUGCUCAGCCAGGGAGGAGGAUGUGCAGCCGUUGGGAUGGCGUGCGGGCCCAGAGGCCUCAGGGAUUCCUCCAAGACCGAAUCCAAGCCAUUUCCCAAGACCAAGUCAAGACUGUUCUUUUGCUUGAGACCCUGACGGCUAGAAUAGAAAAUUAACACUACGGGCCUUAGACUUCCUUCCUCCCAGACCACAAACCCCUGACCCUCAUUUGCCAGCACGAAGAAGCCCUGACAUUAACGACGCCCACCUCUCUUUCUCUUUUUAUAUCUAUUUCUUAGGGUUUGGAAUGAAGGAAAGUUACAUGACUCAAAAUAGUCUGGAAUUAAAACUCCCCUUCAGGUUCUCCCCAUCAUUCUAUGCAAAACAAAGAACUCUGUCACCUGAAGGGAAAAAAUGGACACUAAGGUUGAUUAUGCCCAGCUCCCAGCCAGUCCCAGCCUCUGGCCGAUCUCCAGAAUUCCUUGCCCCAGCUGUUUAAGAGAUAACUACUCCGAACAACCUUGGAGAACAGGCCCCCUUAAGACAAUAGCUUUCCACAUAUAUGCCUACAUAUACUUAACUCUUUUCUUGAGUUAGUGCAGCAGCUCACUAAUCUGACUGUUGCCCC